AUGCCUACGCUUAUCGUGCCGUCGGCCGCCACCAGCGCCAAGGCCGCGGGGGUGGGCCGCCGGGUGGUGCUCACCGGCUCCAACGUCGUCGGCAACCUCGCCGCCGUGGUGCUGACGCUCGCGCCGGUGUUCACCUUUGCUCUGCCAAUCUGGAAUGAGAAUGCGGUCGGCGAUAGGACGGUGUAUGGACAUGUCGCCACGCUGUUCACCAGUGUGGCGUGCUUCCUCUACGGCCUACCGUCCUAUCCGGACGGCUUCGUCUCGCUGGCCAUAAACAUAACCUCUGUCGUGUUCCAGCUAGGGUACAUUGCCGUGUUUAUCUGGUUCGCAGCCGGGGUGGCACGCCGCCGUGCUCUGUACCUCCUUGCCACAAUCCUCAUCACGUCUACUAUCAUCACCUCCUUGGCCUUAACCAAGGUGGUCGCCACGAAUUUCGUCCCCAUCGUCGCCAUGGUCACCACCUCCUUCAACUACAUCUCCGUCGGUGUUGAUGUGGUGAAAGUGGCGAGGAACGGGAGAGUGGAAAACUUGGAUCCAAUCGCCCAGAUCCUACUCGGCCUUACAAAUGCUUUCGCCUCGGCCGUGUUCAGCUUUUUCUCGACGCCAAAAAACCUCUACAUUGCUGUACUAACCACUGUGGGAGUUACGGUUAUGCUGGCACAGUUGGCAGUGUACGUGGUCCACUCCAACCAAGAGCCAGAGGCAGAGCCGGAGGCAGAGCCGGUGCAGGCAUAG
rnacentral:rRNA from 1 species